UACGGGGGGUGCGAGCGUUGCCCGGAAUCACUGGGCGUAAAGGGCGCGUAGGUGGUUUGAUAAGGGUGUGGUGAAAGCCCGGGGCUCAACCCCGGGUCUGCCGUGCCGACUGUCAAACUCGAGGGCUGUAGAGGCAGACGGAAUUCCGGGUGUAGCGGUGGAAUGCGUAGAGAUCCGGAGGAAGACCGGUGGCGAAGGCGGUCUGCUGGGCAGUUUCUGACACUGAUGCGCGACAGCGUGGGGAGCAAACAGG
rnacentral:rRNA from 1 species